rnacentral:rRNA from 1 species
UACAGAGGGGGCGAGCGUUGUUCGGAAUUACUGGGCGUAAAGGGCGCGUAGGCGGCCUGUUAAGUCGGACGUGAAAUCCCUCGGCUCAACCGGGGAACUGCGUCCGAUACUGGCGGGCUUGAAUUCGGGAGAGGGAUGUGGAAUUCCAGGUGUAGCGGUGAAAUGCGUAGAUAUCUGGAGGAACACCGGUGGCGAAGGCGGCCAUCUGGACGGAUACUGACGCUGAGACGCGAAAGCGUGGGUAGCAAACAGG